UACGUAGGCAGCAAGCGUUGUUCGGAGUUACUGGGCGUAAAGGGUGCGUAGGCGGCUUCUUAAGUCUGGUGUGAAAUCUCCCGGCUCAACUGGGAGGGUGCGCCGGAUACUGAGGGGCUAGAGUGUGGGAGAGGAAAGUGGAAUUCCUGGUGUAGCGGUGAAAUGCGUAGAUAUCGGGAAGAACACCCGUGGCGAAGGCGGCUCUCUGGGACGGUACUGACGCUGAGACGCGAAAGCGUGGGGAGCGAACAGG
rnacentral:rRNA from 1 species